GACGAACGCUUGCGGCGUGCUUAACACAUGCAAGUCGAACGGAAAGGCCCUGCUUUUGUGGGGUGCUCGAGUGGCGAGCGGGUGAGUAACACGUGAGUAACCUGCCCUUGACUUUGGGAUAACUUCAGGAAACUGGGGCUAAUACCGGAUAGGAGCUCCUGCUGCAUGGUGGGGGUUGGAAAGUUUCGGCGGUUGGGGAUGGACUCGCGGCUUAUCAGCUUGUUGGUGGGGUAGUGGCUUACCAAGGCUUUGACGGGUAGCCGGCCUGAGAGGGUGACCGGCCACAUUGGGACUGAGAUACGGCCCAGACUCCUACGGGAGGCAGCAGUGGGGAAUAUUGCACAAUGGGCGGAAGCCUGAUGCAGCAACGCCGCGUGCGGGAUGACGGCCUUCGGGUUGUAAACCGCUUUCGCCUGUGACGAAGCGUGAGUGACGGUAAUGGGUAAAGAAGCACCGGCUAACUACGUGCCAGCAGCCGCGGUGAUACGUAGGGUGCGAGCGUUGUCCGGAUUUAUUGGGCGUAAAGGGCUCGUAGGUGGUUGAUCGCGUCGGAAGUGUAAUCUUGGGGCUUAACCCUGAGCGUGCUUUCGAUACGGGUUGACUUGAGGAAGGUAGGGGAGAAUGGAAUUCCUGGUGGAGCGGUGGAAUGCGCAGAUAUCAGGAGGAACACCAGUGGCGAAGGCGGUUCUCUGGGCCUUUCCUGACGCUGAGGAGCGAAAGCGUGGGGAGCGAACAGGCUUAGAUACCCUGGUAGUCCACGCUGUAAACGGUGGGUACUAGGUGUGGGGUCCAUUCCACGGGUUCCGUGCCGUAGCUAACGCUUUAAGUACCCCGCCUGGGGAGUACGGCCGCAAGGCUAAAACUCAAAGGAAUUGACGGGGCCCCGCACAAGCGGCGGAGCAUGCGGAUUAAUUCGAUGCAACGCGUAGAACCUUACCUGGGUUUGACAUGGAUCGGGAGUGCUCAGAGAUGGGUGUGCCUCUUUUGGGGUCGGUUCACAGGUGGUGCAUGGCUGUCGUCAGCUCGUGUCGUGAGAUGUUGGGUUAAGUCCCGCAACGAGCGCAACCCUUGUUCACUGUUGCCAGCACGUUAUGGUGGGGACUCAGUGGAGACCGCCGGGGUCAACUCGGAGGAAGGUGGGGAUGACGUCAAGUCAUCAUGCCCCUUAUGUCCAGGGCUUCACGCAUGCUACAAUGGCUGGUACAGAGAGUGGCGAGCCUGUGAGGGUGAGCGAAUCUCGGAAAGCCGGUCUCAGUUCGGAUUGGGGUCUGCAACUCGACCUCAUGAAGUCGGAGUCGCUAGUAAUCGCAGAUCAGCAACGCUGCGGUGAAUACGUUCCCGGG
rnacentral:rRNA from 1 species